CGUGGUGAAGAAGGCCUUAUGGUUGUAGAGCACUUUAAGCGAGGAGGAGGCUACUUUAAUUAAUACCUAGAGAUAGUGGACGUUACUCGCAUAAUAAGCACCGGCUAACUCUGUGCCAGCAGCCGCGGUAAUACAGAGGGUGCAAGCGUUAAUCGGAUUUACUGGGCGUAAAGCGCGCGUAGGCGGCUAAUUAAGUCAAAUGUGAAAUCCCCGAGCUUAACUUGGGAAUUGCAUUCGAUACUGGUUAGCUAGAGUGUGGGAGAGGAUGGUAGAAUUCCAGGUGUAGCGGUGAAAUGCGUAGAGAUCUGGAGGAAUACCGAUGGCGAAGGCAGCCAUCUGGCCUAACACUGACGCUGAGGUGCGAAAGCAUGGGGAGCAAACAGGAUUAGAUACCCUGGUAGUCCAUGCCGUAAACGAUGUCUACUAGCCGUUGGGGCCUUUGAGGCUUUAGUGGCGCAGCUAACGCGAUAAGUAGACCGCCUGGGGAGUACGGUCGCAAGACUAAAACUCAAAUGAAUUGACGGGGGCCCGCACAAGCGGUGGAGCAUGUGGUUUAAUUCGAUGCAACGCGAAGAACCUUACCUGGCCUUGACAUAGUAGGAACUUCCCAGGAUGUAUUGGUGCCUUCGGGAACUUCAUA
rnacentral:rRNA from 1 species